rnacentral:lncRNA from 1 species
AGACUUUUCUUCCUGAGUCACAGAUGAAGGAAAGACAACAGAAACUUCUGAGAGAAUAGAGAGACAGGCUGAGGAAAGCAAGAGAGUCUCAAUGUGCUGCUAAGUGUGAUCAGACAACAAUGGAAAAUAUUGCAGCCAUUCACAUGAACAAGCAAUGAAUGCCACAUUUUGUCCUGCUUCAAGUCAAGCCACAAGCAUGGCUUCGCUUCACUGUUGGAAACAGCAUGGAAACAUGGAAUAUGCAGUGCUACCGCACUGUGCCUCCUCACUGCUGCAGCCUGAGUCAUUCAGAAGUCGCUGCAAAUAGGAUGGGAGCCCACACCAGUGCCAUCACAGCUUCUGUCUCUUAAGUCUGACAGUUCCUACCCACAGGAUUGAUCUUACCUUGUUUGAGUUCCUGUCCUGCCUUCCCUCAAUGAUGAACAGUACUGCAGAAGUGUAAGCUGAAUAAACUUGUUGUUCCCUAA